rnacentral:misc_RNA from 1 species
GAAAUGCGAUAAGUAGUGUGAAUUGCAGAAUUCAGUGAAUCAUCGAAUCUUUGAACGCACAUUGCGCCCUUUGGUAUUCCUUAGGGCAUGCCUGUUCGAGCGUCAUCUAAACCUUCAAGCCCUGCUUGGUGUUGGGUGCCUGUCCCGCCUCCGCGCGCGGACUCGCCUCAAAUCCAUUGGCGGCCCCCGCGUCGGCCACGAGCGCAGCAGAAACGCGAACUCGUGAGCCCGUCCGGGCGGCUCCCAGAAGCUACACCCACCCAGUUUGACCUCGGAUCAGGUAGGGAUACCCGCUGAACUUAAGC